ensembl:lncRNA
UAUGAACUCUGCAGCAUGUUACAGCUCAUCUGGCUUUCCCUAACAGGAAGAGUGGCAGGAUGCCCGUGCUGUCCUCUUCCCUGUGGUUUAUUGUCCAAUCAUAUAAGAAAGUUCUGAAGGAGCAACUGGAAUGAGCCUUCAAGCUGACCAUCCGACCUUCUUCCCAUGCAAACCAUGGUCCUCUGCUUCACCAAAGGAACAGCUGCGUUUGGAGCUUCUCUGACUUCACCUGGAGGGCCGCAGGGCACUGGGGCUAUCGACUGGACUCUUCCUCUUGUCCUGGCACAGCUCAUUGGAUACCAGUCCCAGUCCUGCCUUUUUCACCAGGGCUCACCUGAAGGCUGCAGGAAGCUCGCAUCUGUCCACUGGAUUCUUCUUGUGGUGGUGCAGAGGCUCAGAGGACCCAGUCUCAGUCUUUCCCGUUUCCUCAGAGCUUGGGAAAGAAGAGCAGCUUCCUCUGUAGGGUAUGUGGACCUUCCUGGUUUUGCAGUUUGGGGGAUAGCGCUGUGUGAACGUGAGGACUUCUCAGCAGUCGCAAUUCUGCUUAAAAGGCAACUGCGCAGUAGGAUGAGAUGUGCAUCUCAUCUCUACCGGCAUCCUUUAGGCAGCAAUACUGAGAGUAGUAGAACAAUGAGAAUGAUUC